rnacentral:tRNA from 1 species
GCGGGCGUGGCGGAACUGGUAGACGCAAGGGACUUAAAAUCCCUUGAGCUUCGGCUCGUGUGGGUUCGAGUCCCACCGCCCGCACCA